GGUUAUGGCUCAGCGCUAGAGCACUCACCUCACAAGUUUGAGGCCCUGGGUUCGAUCCUCAGCACCA
rnacentral:tRNA from 1 species